rnacentral:rRNA from 1 species
AUUGAACGCUGGCGGCAGGCCUAACACAUGCAAGUCGAACGAGUGGCGGACGGGUGAGUAAUGUCUGGGAAACUGCCUGAUGGAGGGGGAUAACUACUGGAAACGGUAGCUAAUACCGCAUACCAUCAGAUGUGCCCAGAUGGGAUUAGCUUGUUGGUGGGGUAACGGCUCACCAAGGCGACGAUCCCUAGCUGGUCUGAGAGGAUGACAGGCCACACUGGGGCUGAGACACGGUCCAGACGCCUUCGGGAGGCAGCAGAGGGGAAUAUUGCGCAAUGGGGGCAAGCCUGAUGCAGCCAUGCCGCGUGUAUAGGGAAGACCUUCGGGUUGUAAAGUACUUUCAGAGGAGAGACGUUACCCGCAGAGGAAGCGCCGGCUAGCUCCGUGCGAGCACCGCCGGUAAUAC